GCUAGGUGUGGUGGUGCACACCUGCAGUCACAGCUCCUUGGGAGGUUGAGGCGGUAGGAUCACUUGAGCCCAGGAGUUCUGGGCUGUAGUGUGUUAAUGCCAGUUGGGCAUUAACUUAGUGUUUGCACUAAGUUCAGCAUCAGUGUGGUGACCUCCCAUGAACAGAAGACUAACAGGUUACCUAGGGAAGGGUGAACUGACCCAGGUUGGAAGUGGAACAGGUCAAAACUCCAGUGCUGAUUAGUAGUGGAAUCACACCUAUGAAUAGCCACUGCUCUCUAGUCUGGGCAGCAUAAGGAGACCCUGUCUCU
rnacentral:SRP_RNA from 1 species